UACGAAGGGUGCAAACGUUGCUCGGAAUUACUGGGCGUAAAGCGUGCGUAGGCGGUUCUGUAAGUUAGGUGUGAAAGCCCCGGGCUCAACCUGGGAAUUGCAUUUAAGACUGCAUAGCUAGGGUGCGGAAGAGGGAAGCGGAAUUUCCGGUGUAGCGGUGAAAUGCGUAGAUAUCGGAAGGAACAUCAGUGGCGAAAGCGGCUUCCUGGGCCAGCACCGACGUUCAGGCACGAAAGCGUGGGGAGCAAACACG
rnacentral:rRNA from 1 species